rnacentral:lncRNA from 1 species
ACACAGAGCGUUGUUGCCAGGAGAGUCCCUGUGCCCUGCUGAUGGGCUGUGUGUUGUUUGGCAGGAGCUGCCAGGCAGAGCUGUCCUCCCGGCUCACCCCGGAGCGGGUGGGCAGCGCAGUGCCCGACACCGGAGAGAGCCGGCGGCCCGGCGAGCGCCCAGUGCUGGAAGGGUGGCCACCUUCCCUGAAGUCCCUGAGCUUGCCUGAGCUGUCAGCUGUGCUGGAGGAAUGUGUGGAAGAGAUGGGAAAAGCUCUGCAGACUGUGACUCAAAACCUCCAAAGGCUCCAAGCCCCGGGGCAGAGCGAGCCGAGCUGGCUGGAGCCAUAACAAAGCAGGAGGGAACACCGACGUCGGGUGACUGUUCCACCCGGAAGCUGAAGGAGCGCGGGAGCUGUGCCAGCACCGCGGCUCUGCCGGGCACCACCACAGCCAGGGGGCCUGGCAGGAGGGCUCGGCCACCGCAGAACACACGUGGGAGGACAAGGGGCAGCAGAAGACGACAGCCAGCAGCAUUCUGGGCCUGAGUGCUGCCUGGGUUCCCAGGAUCCUUGUUCACGCCGGAAGGUUUGGGUUAGGAGGAGAAGCUCUGAGCUCAGAGAUUUUACCUGCCUUAAGAUUCCUGCAGCCCUUGUUGUUCAGGUCUGUGUGGUGUUAGAAAGUUGGCAGUUACACACAGCAAUCAAUUAAUUAUCCUUUUAUGCAUCCCAACCUCCUCACCAUCUCUGAAACGUGUCCUUGGCUCCUCCUGUGCCACGUGGAUUGGCACAGAGGAUGUAUCUGAGUCCAUAAGGAAGACAGGUUGUUGUGGAGGGGUGAAGUUUGUAAAGUUUGGCUCUUUGAGCUGCAGUGAAGCUCUGUUCCUAGUUGGAAUGUCUGCUCUACUGCCAUCCCAGAUCUGGGCUUCAAAACCUCUUCCUUCAGCCAGCCCACCCUGGUUCUCUUCAGAUUCUUGCCCUCCUCAGGGAUUGUUUGUGAUCACAUGUUGUAGUUUAGGAAUGGAAUUCCCCAAUUUACUGCUCCCCCUGAAACACUCCCAACCAUGCUCAUUCCCUCCCCCUGUGGUGGGAUGGAGAAGAGAACUGGAGGCACAAAGGGUACAGAUCAAGAGUUUAGAUAAGAACAAUUUACUGGGAACAGCAAUGAGACAAGGAAACAAAUAGUAACAGCAACAAUAUUAACAACAGAUGGUACAAGAGAGGUGAAGAAUUCUUACCCCCCUGACUAAAAGGCACCCCUUUCCCCCAGCCCCUCUGUGUGGCAGGAGGUAGUACAGAAUAACUUCCUGGUCCUGGUCAUGCCCCUCCUGGCUACUCUAAAAAUUAACCCUGUCCUGGUUAUUCCAUCCCCAAAAGCCUGUUUUUGUGGUAAAUGCUUUGUAGCCACUUUGCAGCAGAG